rnacentral:rRNA from 1 species
AGGACGAACGCUGGCGGCGUGCUUAACACAUGCAAGUCGAGCGGAAAGGCCCUUCGGGGUACUCGAGCGGCGAACGGGUGAGUAACACGUGAGCAACCUGCCCUUGGCUCUGGGAUAGCCUCCGGAAACGGGGAUUAAUACCGGACAUUCACUUUCUCCUGCAUGGGGGUUGGUGGAAAGUUUUUCGGCCAGGGAGGGGCUCGCGGCCUAUCAGCUUGUUGGCGGGGUAACGGCCCACCAAGGCGACGACGGGUAGCCGGCCUGAGAGGGCGAUCGGCCACACUGGGACUGAGACACGGCCCAGACUCCUACGGGAGGCAGCAGUGGGGAAUAUUGCACAAUGGGCGCAAGCCUGAUGCAGCGACGCCGCGUGGGGGAUGAAGGCCUUCGGGUUGUAAACCCCUUUCACCAGGAGCGAAUUCAGACGGUACCUGGGGAAGAAGCGCCGGCUAACUACGCGCCAGCAGCCGC